rnacentral:rRNA from 1 species
UACGUAGGGACCAAGCGUUGUUCGGAUUUACUGGGCGUAAAGGGCGCGUAGGUGGUUGCGUAAGUGAGAUGUGAAAGCCCCGGGCUCAACCUGGGAACUGCAUCUUAUACUGCGUAGCUGGAGUGAAGUAGAGGGUAGUGGAAUUUCCGGUGUAGCGGUGAAAUGCGUAGAUAUCGGAAAGAACACCAACGGCGAAAGCACUCUGCUGGGCCGACACUGACACUGAGAGACGAAAGCUAGGGGGAGCGAAUGGG